UGUGACAAUUAGAUCAUCGGUCUAUUAAUUAAAAGGAUUAGAUUCAUUUUCUUACGAUUCAAUUUAUUGGACUCAUUUUUCAUUUUUCUCGAUCCUUAAGAUGGAAAAAAAUAGUUGAAUUAAUCAUUCGGGUCAAAGAAAAGGUGACGUAGUUAAAACGUUUUCUCUUCUUCCUCUUUCUCUCUCUGGCUUUUUCUAUCUUAGGCCUGACAGAAGAAGAGAAAUUUUCUAAAAAGGUUUCAUGUUAGAAAAUGAUGAAUAAUGUGUGUAAAGGUUUUUCUCUUUUAGAUUUGUUCGUCUACUUGUGUCCAGUGCUUAAAUUGAUCGCUAAGGUUGCCACAUGGCUCUGUUUAAGAUCAUCUCUUUGUAUCAUCUUCUUAUGUUGAUAUGGGCAGACGGAAGUUGGACGCUUGUUUAGAAAAAGGCUCUCCCCUUACCUGGUCAUUGGGAAAAGGCUAUAAAUGGGUUGAGGUUAAAGGAGAAAAGAAAGAAAAAGCAAACCUUUCUUCAUCUUUAAGACUGAUAGAGAAAAGCCUUUAAGACGGAAAGUUAAUUAUGGCUUCAAAUUAUGAGAGAGCAAAAGAGAGAACCAAGAAGACGUGAAGACGAAACAGACUCUCUCUCUCUCUCUCUCUCUCUCUCUCUCUCUCUCUCUCUCUCGAACAUUAGUUCGGCAGAUGUUUGUGUCCACUAUACUCUCUCUAACUCUCUAUGUACAAUAAGAAAGUGAGUAAGUGAAGUGAGUGACCCACAGGUUCACUUUUUCCCGCCAAAAUCAUGUCAAAUGUCAACAUUCAAAGGAAAGUUAAGAAAACAGCUUAAGACAUUUAUCUCUCAUUCCAAUGUACACCUUUCCUUUUUUUCUGGCUCAAAACAAAGCGUAAACAGAAAGGGAGAGACAGAAUCCAUCAUACUAAUUGACAGUUGGAAAUUAUACUCAUUGAUUAUCUUACUCAUGGUUGGACUCAUUAUAAUCUAUUAACCAAGUUAUCAAAGUUGUACCUGUUAUUUGUCAUCCCCUUUUGGUUACACAGGAUCUUCUAACUUUCCUGUCUCGUUCAAUGUGAUUUAGCACACGAGAGUAAUUAACUUGAUUUACACGAGAAGCUAUAUACUUAUAUGUGUAUUAAUUGUCACUGGAAAAUAUCACCGGGAAAGAUAUGAUUCAUAUGAGUGACAUUGGGCAGGAAACGAUAUCGUUGUUGUAAAAAUGAAUUGACAGAUACGACGUACAAGAAAUACUAUUCAACUAAAUGGUUAAUUGAGUGUCAUUAGCUAACUAUUAUGGUGAUAUUAAUGAUAACGACAAUAAUAUCCCUUAGAAAACAAUCAAAGGAAGAAGAAGAUGAAGAAACAACAACAACAACAACAAAGGUACAUAAGUAAACGAAUCGUCAUCAUACCAGAUUGUAUAUGUGUUCACGUACUAUUAGAGCGAGACGAAAUUUCCACAACUACAACAUCCGACUAAAACGAAAUGGAGAACAAGGAAAAGAAAAUGAUAAUGAUAUAAAAAUGAACGGAAAUAUAACCAACGAAGAGAAGAUGGAAAGAAAGAUUAAAAGGAAGAUGAUUAACUACGAUGAGAUGAGAAAAUGACGAAAAAAAAAACCAAAGGAAGACCAUUGGAUCCAUGUAACAUCCUGUGUAUCAAAUGUUAAUGAUGAAUCGUUUUAUAUUUAGGUCAUUAACGUAGAUUAUUCUAGCCUAAGGUCAUUAUCAUCAUUGGCGUUAUCAUGCUGACGAUCAUUGUCUUUGUCUUUUGAAUGUCACUGUUGUUACUCUUGUCAUAUAAGAUUGUUAGAGACACUGAGACGAAGUGGGAGGAUGGAGGAUGAGGAUAAAGAUAUUGGGAUGACAAGAAAGAAACUUUUCUUGCAGGUAAAACAUGGGAAAAAGGUGGUAAACAUGAGAGAGUGAGAGAGAACAUUGAAAAUGAGAAAAAAAAAAGUUUUCUCUUUCUCUUUUUCUCUCUUACCUUUUAGAUUUACCUGGAAUCAAGAAAAUGUCAUGAUAAUGAUUUGUUGCAAUUGAAUUAACUUUGUUUCCAUGUUGUAACUUUCUUUUUCCAAUGAACACAACUAAUAAUGACCAUUGAAUGUUAAUCGUUGAUUAUAUUAACUGGUGAACAAAAAAGUAACAAGAAAAAAAGAGGCCCUUUUGCCCAAUGGUCAAGCAAGAAGCAAAUACAUAAGAGGGAUAGUUACAUUCCAGAUCCAUGUUAAUAUUAUACACAGAAGCUUCACCUUUCGUUGUUGGAUCAUGUUAAUAUUACAUAGAGACUAUUACUACUCUUACUACCUGCUGAGAAGCCAAAUUGAUCACACCUAAAGACCAGAGGAUAAAGAUUGUGAGUGAGAGAGAGAGAGAGAGAAGGUUAAAGAUUAACUUUUCUCUUACUCCUUCCUGAAUAGCAAAUGUAAUGUGAGAUGAAGUUAAAACUAACUACCGUUUGUUAACAUGAUUAAGAUCAUCAAGAGAUGAUCAAUAUCUUAGAAGAUCAUCUUUGUCUCUGUCUUUUUAUGCCUUUCAGGUAAAAUUUGUGUACAUGUAAAAGGUAUGAAAAAAACGUUAACUACAUUUUCUGAUGGUUUAGAUUCAUAAACAAUUGACUUCAAUUUGUAUUCAUUAGACUUGAUUACUUAUUGUUAUUGUUGUUAUUUUACUUUCUUUUCUGUUGAUAUCAUUUGUAAAUUCACCCACAGUAGUUUGUUAUCCUUUGAGUAUCAAAUUAAUCAUUUAAAAUUUAUGGUUAAUUGUUAAUAUGACAACUGAAUCUAAUUACUUUUCAAUAGUUACAAAUUUGUUUCUUAACAACAACAACAACAACAAUAGUUAAUCAAGUUUAAAUCACGAAAAUGAUUUUUGAUUGUCUAUAUAUCUACUUAUUGUAUUCAUAUUACAAAUGAUUAAUUCAUCUUGUUGGCAAGAUAAUAUGAUUAACCAUUGUGAUUAAUAAUUUUCUUGAUUGUUAUUAUUGGCUAGCAAUCAAAUAACCCAAGAAGACAAUUAACUCUUAAACAUUGAUUUUUCCCUCCAAAAAAAAAUUAUCAUAUGAGUUAUAAAUCAUUUUGUCAUUUGAUAUAACAG